rnacentral:tRNA from 1 species
GGAGCAUUGGCCGAGAGGUCCAAGGCAGCGGCAUGCUAAGCCGUGGCCGCGCAAGCGGCUCGUUCGUUCGAAUCGAACAUGCUCCGCCG